GGCCUCCUAGGCAACAUCAAGGUCCUUUCACAAAUUAUAACAUAUUUUGAUUUUUCUACAUAUAUUAAUUUUGCAAUAUGUAUAGAUAUACAAUUUUGUUUAGAUAUAUAGUAAAUUCAAUUUAAAAAAGUCAAUUACAUUUUCCAUGGCUAUGCAGCGCAACUUAUUAGUUCAUUUGGUUUAUUGUACUGAGUUUAUCUAAAUUCUCUUUUUAUGUAUAGGCUACUAACUUACGAGAUUAAGUUAGUGUAUAAAGUUAUAUAAGUAACUUGUGUUUUUCAUGUGCUGCAUGCUAGCUAACUUAUUUAUCUAAGUUACUAUUAAUAGUAAUGCAUCUAACUUGUGUUUUGUAUCUGUUAUUUUUAAAUUUUAUAAUUUAAUUAUUUUACAGAUCUACGAAUUGAAGAAACAAAUGUUGAGAUUAUCGCUGCACAAGUUUAAAAAGCAUUUAUUUUAUCUUGAUUUUCCAAGGGUGCAUCAUCAUUCUAUGGAAUGUAUUAUGUAGUAUAAGUUGUAAAAGUUACUUUUAUUUCAUCCCCCACCUUUUUUUAAACCCUCUUCCCAUUUCCCAAAUGUUUACUUUUCCAAAAAGAGAGAAAAAACGACUCUUCAAACCUAAAAGAGAAUGCAGGAGAACGACUAAGUUAGCAAUGUUGAGCUAUUUCUCGAACUUAUGUUGUCUAGAAGCACUUUUAAGUUAGUACUGUUAAAUUUAUCAUGAAAAUUAUGCUUUUUAAUGUUGUUUUAUAAGUUAUGAGGACAUGCUUCUUAAAAAAUAAAAAAAAUAUUUAAGGACAGGUGAUCCAGUAAAAGAAAGUAAAAAAAGAAUCGAAUGCCUUAAAAGAAAAAAAAUAAAUGAUUCCCUGUUCUGUCCAGAAAUAGAAAGUAACAUAUGCACUGCCCAAAAAAAGAAAGAGAAUAGUUGUCGGAAAUUGACUGUUGCUUUCAUUUCCACUGAACGUUCGUAGAAUAGUGGUGCCGAUGGCCUACUUCAACCAUAUCACACAAUUUACCUUUAUGUAUUGUGAGUUUUGUAUCUAUGUAGCAUCCUUUUUCAACAUGUUAUUUGUGUUUUUCUCAUAGGUUGUACCAUGUCGGUCGUCUUGGAAGCCUUCCAAGAAAUAAUUGAUUUGGCCAAGAGUAAGGAAAUUGUUAUAUUUUUUGACUACGAUGAGAUCCCGUAACCAAUAUUCUAUGACCCUCAAAAGUAAUAUAUGUCCUAUGAAGUAAAUAAAAUAAGUUGAAAAAUAAUAUUCUUUAUACUGUUAAUAUUCCUUCAUCUCAUGCCAGUUUUCAAUAUAACACUACUACAGAAUGAGGCAUUGGUCGAUGCCCAAAAUGGCCAAAAACCUCGGCCUUUUUGCGGCCGGGGUUAAAGGCCCCUUUAACACCGGUUCGUAACACGAACCGGUGCUAAAGGGUCCUGCCCAACGGCUACUGACAGGUGCUGUCGGGGCAGAGACCCUUUAGAACCGGUUCGUGUUACCAACCGGUGCUAAAGGGUCCCCUUUAGCACUGGCCAGCGCCACGGGCCGAGGCAAAGCCUUUAGCACCGGUUUGUGUUACAAACCGGUGCUAAAGGGUGACCUUUAGCACUGCCCAAAAAAAGAAAGAGAAUAGUUGUCGGAAAUUGACUGUUGCUUUCAUUUCCACUGAACGUUCGUAGAAUAGUGGUGCCGAUGGCCUACUUCAACCAUAUCACACAAUUUACCUUUAUGUAUUGUGAGUUUUGUAUCUAUGUAGCAUCCUUUUUCAACAUGUUAUUUGUGUUUUUCUCAUAGGUUGUACCAUGUCGGUCGUCUUGGAAGCCUUCCAAGAAAUAAUUGAUUUGGCCAAGAGUAAGGAAAUUGUUAUAUUUUUUGACUACGAUGAGAUCCCGUAACCAAUAUUCUAUGACCCUCAAAAGUAAUAUAUGUCCUAUGAAGUAAAUAAAAUAAGUUGAAAAAUAAUAUUCUUUAUACUGUUAAUAUUCCUUCAUCUCAUGCCAGUUUUCAAUAUAACACUACUACAGAAUG
rnacentral:lncRNA from 1 species